UACCGUUUCUUUUUGGGCGAGCAUAUGCAAUUUCGAAGAAGUCCCGGGGAAAACUUGAAAAAUUCAAAAAAGGAAAGAUCAAAACUGGAGUUUCCCUAUAAAUUAUGGCCUCGCGGACCGACAAUCCGACAAAUUCUGGCCUCGCGGACCAAAAAUCGCCAUCGUACUCUCCAAAAGCUCAAGGGAAAAAUUCAUAGUAUAUGGAUAACAAAUCGUCACCGUGCAAGGAGGCUGCUGAUGAAUUGACUCGGGAGUUGCUUAUUGCAAUCUCUUAUUUAGAACCGGAUACAGCUGGCAACACGAAUGUUCAACCACAAAGCUUUAAAAAUGAAAAUGGUGAUGCAAUGACUAAUGAUGACGACGUUGAGAAGUACAGAUCCGAGCUCAUGUCCAUCUCCGAUUUACCGCCACCUAAAGCUUCACCUGUUGCUAUGGAUCCUUGAGGGUUAAGGGGGUUGCAAUUUCUUUGGAAAGACUAUUUUGACUGAGUGACAAGCUUGUUGUGAUGUAGAACAACUAGAAUGUCUUUCAAUGCAGUUUUCUUCUUUUGUGGAAUGGUCAGAUUCGACUGAAAAUAUCUGCACUCUCGAACUCCAUGUACAAAUGUGAUCUAUGGAUCAGUUUGAGAAAGCACACAGAAAGAAAUCGUUUUGAGCUUUAUUAUAUCCUUGCCUUUUGUCUAUUA